AUGGUUCGUGGGACGUCCUGCCGGUGGUGGCGAGCCGAAAGCGUGCGGCCGCCGUGGUUAGCCCACGUGCGGUUCCUGCGCGCCGUAGGCGGACCCCGAUGAAAUCCUACCGCGGUGCUCUUCAUCGAGUGUCGAGGUGGGCCGGCACGUUUACUUUGAACAAAUUAGAGUGCUUAAAGCAGGCCGGCUGCGCCUGAAUACUGUGUGCAUGGAAUAAUGGAAUAGGACCUCGGUUCUAUUUUGUUGGUUUUCGGAACCCGAGGUAAUGAUUAAUAGGGACAGGCGGGGGCAUUCGUAUUGCGACGUUAGAGGUGAAAUUCUUGGAUCGUCGCAAGACGGACCGAAGCGAAAGCAUUUGCCAAGUAUGUUUUCAUUAAUCAAGAACGAAAGUUAGAGGUUCGAAGGCGAUCAGAUACCGCCCUAGUUCUAACCAUAAACGAUGCCAGCUAGCGAUCCGCCGAAGUUCCUCCGAUGACUCGGCGGGCAGCUCCCGGGAAACCAAAGCUUUUGGGUUCCGGGGGAAUAUGGUUGCAAGCUGAAACUUAAAGGAAUUGACGGAAGG
rnacentral:rRNA from 1 species